rnacentral:rRNA from 1 species
AUUGAACGCUGGCGGCAGGCCUAACACAUGCAAGUCGAACGAGUGGCGGACGGGUGAGUAAUGUCUGGGAAACUGCCUGAUGGAGGGGGAUAACCACUGGAAAGGGUAGCUAAUCCCGCAAACCCUCGGAUGUGCACAGAUGGGAUUUGCUAGUAGGGGGGGUAAAGGCUCACCUAGGCGACGAUCUCUAGCUGGUCGGAGAGGAUGGCCAGCCACACGGGAACUGAGACCAGGUGCAGACUCCUACGGUAGGCAGCAGGGGGGAAUAUUUGACAAAUGGCGCAAGCCUGAGUGCGCCAUGCCGCGUGUAUGAAGAAGGCCUUCGGGUUGUAAAGUAAUUUCAGCGGGGAGGCGUUACCCGCAGAAGAAGCACCGGCUAACUCCGUGGCAGGAGCCGCGGUAAUAC